ACAAUUUACUGAUCAUUAACAAACAAACAUAAUAUAAGAAAAGAAACACAUAAAUUGAGAUGGAAAGCUAAGAAACUAUCUUCUUCUUAAUUUAUUGAUCCUUUCCUUUUGAGUUGGGCUUGAGUAGAGUGAAAGCUAAAGGAAACUUUUGUGCGCCUAAUAUUUGUAUUACAACAAUUUACUGAUCAUUAGCAAACAAACAUAAUAUAAGAAAAGAAACACAUAAAUUGAGAUGUAUGUAAAUAGUCAAAAAAAUGCCAAAAGGAAAUUUAAAGGUGGAGCUGAAAAAUUAAGAAAAAAAAAUGCUGCUGGUCUCAAAGCAGCUGGUGCUG